UGUAUGAUGACAUGACAUAUGAUCAUUAGGAUGCUAGCUGUAUGAUGACCUGACUAUAAUGCUAGCUGGGGAGACAAGACUAUAUUAUAAAUAUCCUUGACUCAACAUGUCAUAACAACUUGACAUUGUCAUUCAAGAUAGUUCACUGGUUCACUUCAACUUUCUAUCACUGAUAUGUUAGCCAAUAUAUAAUUGUAACGUAAUGCCAGUAUUGAUGAGAGUAAUUAACUGGGGGAUUUCAAGCUGAAUUACACCAUUCCAGUAUAUUCUCAGAGAAAGACCCUCUGAGCCCAUAGUAGCCCUCAACCAAAUAUCUGGCAUUCACCACUGAAUCAAGCCCAGUCAGUGCAGAACAUUUCAUUUGGUAACCAUCUUGGAUAUAUUUUGUCUUUCUUCCAACAUAUUGGGAUUUAGCUAAAUAAGCUCUACAGGCUAGAAAGCUUUUGAAUAAUCAUUUCAAUUUUUCUAAAGGUUAUUACCAGUUCCAGAUGUUUCUGUUUGGUAGAUGAGAUAUGGCCGCUGAUCACCAAUGGAAUUUGGCAUUAUUCUAAUUUAAUCAUAAAAUAAAUUUCACAGAUGUCACUAUUUUGAAAGAUUUAUUCCCCCAUUUCAGACGAAAUAAAAUCCAGAGAAUAGCAAUCGGAAUAGAUAACUGAAUAAGGUGAUAUAAAAGCAGAUUUUAUAACAUAAAAUUGCAAAUUAGUGCAACAAAACCCGCAUGAUUCGAGUCUAUUCUAUAAAAAUAAAAUGGGGUUUAUCAUCCUACUUUUCUGCACCAACUAGUGUGUGUGUGUGUGCUAUAAGGGAAAUUGUUCUGAAAUAUCAAUAUUUUCCGACUAUCCUUCUUUGAAGUCCAACUGCCAUUUUUUUUUAUAUGUACAGCAAAAUGCACACAGGACCUCUGUUUUUUGCCCUGUCAAACGACUAGACACUGUUCGAUGCCAUGCCUCUCACCCAGGUCACCUUCUUCUAUGACAAAACUUAUGAUCUAAUUUAGA